rnacentral:rRNA from 1 species
AGAUACCGUCGUAGUCCUAACUAUAAACGAUGUCAACCAAGGAUUGGAUUAGUUUAAGAGUGACAGAAGCCCGGUAACGCUGUUAUUGGGCUGACGGAUCUCGCUUCCACCUUAUUCAGAACUUAAAGAGAAAUCUCGAGUUUAUGGACUUCAGGGGGAGUAUGGUCACAAGGCUGAAACUUAAAGGAAUUGACGGAAGGGCACACCAGGAGUGGAGCCUGCGGCUUAAUUUGACUCAACACGGGAAAACUUACCAAGACCG